GCCAUUGCAACUGAUGACAUAACUUUUUUCCCCAUCAGAUCGACCUUGUUGAUCUAGCUUAACUACUAGCCAGUUUCUGUCUGAUGCUUGGC
rnacentral:snoRNA from 1 species